CAUGCAAGUCGUGGGGUAAUCCCGAGCAAUCGGGAACGACCGGCGAACGGGUGAGUAACGCGUAUGUAACCUACCUCUAACUGGGGAAUAGCUCCGGGAAAUCGGAAUUAAUACCCCAUAAUAUUCCGAAGUGACAUCGUUUUGGAAUUAAAGCUCCGGCGGUUAGGGAUGGGCAUGCGGGGUAUUAGCUAGUUGGUGAGGUAAUGGCUCACAAAGGCUAUGAUGCCUAGGGGAUCUGAGAGGAUGUCCCCCCACACUGGUACUGAAACACGGACCAGACUCCUACGGGAGGCAGCAGUGAGGAAUAUUGGUCAAUGGGUGCAAGCCUGAACCAGCCAUGCCGCGUGCAGGAUGAAUGUCUUAUGGGUUGUAAACUGCUUUUGUACGGGAAGAAACUUCCUGACGUGUCGGGAAC
rnacentral:rRNA from 1 species